rnacentral:rRNA from 1 species
UGGGGAAUAUUGCACAAUGGGCGCAAGCCUGAUGCAGCCAUGCCGCGUGUAUGAAGAAGGCCUUCGGGUUGUAAAGUACUUUCAGCGGGGAGGAAGGUGUUGUGGUUAAUAACCGCAGCAAUUGACGUUACCCGCAGAAGAAGCACCGGCUAACUCCGUGCCAGCAGCCGCGGUAAUACGGAGGGUGCAAGCGUUAAUCGGAAUUACUGGGCGUAAAGCGCACGCAGGCGGUCUGUCAAGUCGGAUGUGAAAUCCCCGGGCUCAACCUGGGAACUUCAUUCGAAACUGGCAGGCUAGAGUCUUGUAGAGGGGGGUAGAAUUCCAGGUGUAGCGGUGAAAUGCGUAGAGAUCUGGAGGAAUACCGGUGGCGAAGGCGGCCCCCUGGACAAAGACUGACGCUCAGGUGCGAAAGCGUGGGGAGCAAACA